GGACUCUGGGGCGACUUUCUCGGUCGUCGAGCGGGAGGUGUUUGCAGUGAGCGUCGCUGUCAUGUCUGGUCGUGGCAAACAAGGAGGCAAGGCCCGCGCCAAGGCCAAAUCGCGCUCGUCCCGCGCCGGCCUGCAGUUCCCAGUGGGGCGCGUGCACCGGCUGCUGCGUAAGGGCAACUACGCCGAGCGGGUGGGGGCCGGCGCUCCCGUCUACAUGGCGGCCGUGCUGGAGUACCUGACGGCCGAGAUCCUGGAGCUGGCGGGCAACGCGGCCCGCGACAACAAGAAGACGCGUAUCAUCCCCCGCCACCUGCAGCUGGCCAUCCGCAACGACGAGGAGCUCAACAAGCUGCUGGGCAAGGUCACCAUCGCCCAGGGCGGCGUCCUGCCCAACAUCCAGGCUGUGUUGCUCCCUAAGAAGACGGAGAGCCACCACAAGGCGAAGGGCAAGUGAGGCCGGCGUCCGGAAGCCCAGCCAGCCCUGGUCUCGAAGGGGACACCUGUGAAAUCCAAAGGCUCUUUUAAGAGCCACCCACUCUGUCAAAUAAAAGGAGUUGUAUACAGUGUCCACCUCUGCCAGUCUUGUGCGGAGGCCCAAGGCGUGGAGGGGGAGAGGGGUUGUCCCUCAACGGUUCCUCGACCCCGAGCCUUGGGCGCUCGGCCUUCUUGACCUGGUCUGGUGGGUCGUGGACCUUAGGACUUGGUGGCGCAGCUGGGGGGGCCCGGACCCCCAGGGCGCAGCCACGGUCGACUCCGUCCUAAGAACUGAGAGGCGGUCCCCGACUCUUGCCUCGCGCGCAGCUCCCUCCCCAGUUCCCGAGGCCCGCGCCCCCGCCCCCACCCACACGCACGUGCACUCCCGGCCGGCAGGGCAGCGGGCAGUUUCCGGGAGUGAGUGUGGCGGGCCCGGUCCUCGGCUUAACUGAGCCGGCUUACUCCGGAAAAAAAAAAAGAGAUCAGGACAGCCAACACAGAGGGAUGACCAUAAGAGAGGCAUGUGAGAAGGCAGCCAUCUUCAAGUUGAGGAGAGGCCUCAAAAGAAACCAACCUGAUGACAAAGAUCUUGGACUUCUGGCCUCUAGAACUAACCUAACAGCACGAGUCGCCAAAAUGAUAGACUACAGUUCCCGUGAGCCCUCACGUGGCGUCUGCCCAUUCUACUAUCGCGUAGCGAGGACUCCAUUUCCCAGAGUGCCUCAGGAUGCGACGACGACCUUACUCUCCGAGAACUUCUGGGGUCCGGUGACUGACACGCGACUGCGGUAGCCGAGGCUGAGCGGAAGGUCGCGUCUGUCUGUCCCGGAGCAGCGCGGGACUGGGAACCAUCGGUCCCGUCGAGGCAGCCAUUCGCACAAAGUUGGAGCAGGCCUUGAACCCCGAGGUGUUGGAGCUGCGCAACGAGAGCGACGCCCAUGCGGUCCCACCAGGCAGCGAGACGCAUUUCCGCGUGGCGGUGGUGAGCUCUCGCUUUGAAGGACUGAGCCCCUUACAACGGCACCGGCUGGUCCACGCCGCCCUGUCUGAGGAGCUGGCUGGGCGGGUGCACGCACUGGCCAUACAGACACGGACCCCCGCCCAGUGGAAGGAAAAUCCUCAACUAGACAUGAGCCCCCCUUGCCUGGGUGGGAACAAGAAAACUCGGGGAACCCCCUGAGCCCCAAAGGAGGGAAGGCCAGGAUUCUAAUGGUUUGUCUGGGAAUAAACUACGGGCUUUCUGCCAAUAUGGUCUGGUGUUUGUAAGCGAUGAGAGGCCCCAUUCAACCAGUGCGUACAUUCUCUCUGGACAUGACUCAGUUUAGAUCAAAGCUAUCCAAGCAAAGAGUAGAAUCACUCUCCACCCCCCUUGCCCUGAUCUAUUUAGGAAAAGCUGCCUGGGCGUUUCAUGUUAAAUUGUGACUAAGAUAUAUGUUGGCAAAUUGAAUUUAAUUUUUUUUAAAUGCAAAUUUAAAAAAAAAAAAAAAAAACCUAUGGCCCCAUCAC